GACGAACGCUGGCGGCGUGCUUAACACAUGCAAGUCGAACGGAAAGGCCCUGCUUUUGUGGGGUGCUCGAGUGGCGAACGGGUGAGUAACACGUGAGUAACCUGCCCUUGACUUUGGGAUAACUUAAGGAAACUGGGGCUAAUACCGGAUAGGAGCUCCUGCGGCAUGGUGGGGGUUGGAAAGUUUCGGCGGUUGGGGAUGGACUCGCGGCUUAUCAGCUUGUUGGUGGGGUAGUGGCUUACCAAGGCUUUGACGGGUAGCCGGCCUGAGAGGGUGACCGGCCACAUUGGGACUGAGAUACGGCCCAGACUCCUACGGGAGGCAGCAGUGGGGAAUAUUGCACAAUGGGCGGAAGCCUGAUGCAGCAACGCCGCGUGCGGGAUGACGGCCUUCGGGUUGUAAACCGCUUUCGCCUGUGACGAAGCGUGAGUGACGGUAAUGGGUAAAGAAGCACCGGCUAACUACGUG
rnacentral:rRNA from 1 species